GGCCUCGUAGCUCAGCUGGUAGAGCACGUCGCGUACUAGGAGCGAGGGUGUGACCAUGCGUGGGUUCGAAUCCCGCCGAGGCCA
rnacentral:tRNA from 1 species